CUUGCAAGUGUCCAGACCCUUGCCCACCUAUAAAGUGCCCUGACCCAUGCGUGCCUCAGCAGUGCAAGCAGAAAUGCCCUCCUGGGGCACCUGUUCAACAUUGCUAGCAGAAGUGGCCACCCAAGAGUAUGUAAGAGCUUGAGCUUUUAUCUGCAUCUGGAAAGGAUAAGGACAAUCAGCUCAACUAGUUCCAGAGCUCCACCUUCCUCUUCUCUUCAAAGCCUAUCAUGGAUACGGAAGAAGCUUCUCCACCCUUCAGCCUCAAUAUGCGAGUGCUGCUUCCUGACAGACAGAGGUUUCUUACCUGUGAGUGCUGUACUGCUUCCCUCUGGGAGGUGCCCAAGAAA